rnacentral:rRNA from 1 species
UACGUAGGUGGCAAGCGUUAUCCGGAUUUAUUGGGCGUAAAGGGAACGCAGGCGGUCUUUUAAGUCUGAUGUGAAAGCCUUCGGCUUAACCGGAGUAGUGCAUUGGAAACUGGGAGACUUGAGUGCAGAAGAGGAGAGUGGAACUCCAUGUGUAGCGGUGAAAUGCGUAGAUAUAUGGAAGAACACCAGUGGCGAAAGCGGCUCUCUGGUCUAUAACUGACGCUGAGGUUCGAAAGCGUGGGUAGCAAACAGG